rnacentral:rRNA from 1 species
UACGGGGGGGGCAAGCGUUGUUCGGAAUUACUGGGCGUAAAGGGCUCGUAGGCGGCCAACUAAGUCGGAUGUGAAAUCCCCAGGCUUAACCUGGGAACUGCAUCCGAUACUGGAUGGCUUGAAUCCGGGAGAGGGAUGCAGAAUUCCAGGUGUAGCGGUGAAAUGCGUAGAUAUCGGGAGGAACACCAAUGGCGAAGGCAGCUCGCUGGGACGGUACUGACGCUGAGACGCGAAAGCGUGGGGAGCAAACAGG